rnacentral:rRNA from 1 species
UACGUAGGCAGCAAGCGUUGUUCGGAAUUACUGGGCGUAAAGCGUGUGUAGGCGGUUGGGUAAGUCUGGUGUGAAAUCUCCCGGCUCAACUGGGAGGGUGCGCCGGGAACUGCCUGGCUGGAGUGCGGAAGAGGAGAGUGGAAUUCCCGGUGUAGCGGUGAAAUGCGCAGAUAUCGGGAAGAACACCCGUGGCGAAGGCGGCUCUCUGGGACGGUACUGACGCUGAGACGCGAAAGCGUGGGGAGCGAACAGG